GGGAUACCUCAGUGGUAGAACAUCUGCUUUGGAUGCAGAAGGUCCCAGGUUCAGUCCCCAGUGGCAUCU